rnacentral:tRNA from 1 species
GCGCCCAUAGCUCAAUGGACAGAGUGCCUGACUUCGAAUCAGUCGGUUGGGAGUUCGAAUCUCUCUGGGCGCA